AAAAAACAUGGUUACUAAACUUUUACCACAAAAAAAAAAAACAUUCAUUUUCGUAAGGGGAAUAUGAGUGUUUGUUUUUUUGUAGUUUUUCAGUCAAUUGCAUACCGCUUUUAGCUGUACAAAACUUAAACAGUUUUCGUAAAUGCAUUUCAGAGAAAAGUGAAUUCUGAGAUUUGAAUAAUGCAUCUGACGUGUGUGUGAUGACGUCACGACGCACGUAUUUUGAUUUUUACCAGUCGUUCAAGGCGGACGGAUUCAGUCCCAAGAAGCUAAAGUUUUUCAAAGACAUUUGUAGGGAGGACUUUGCAGCUAAUGAUUUCCUUAGGCUGAACCAAAACCUGCCAGACUAAAGUUGAUUUGGGAGAGAAAGACGUUGUAAACUCAAUCAUCUUGACAUUCUUCAAUGAGUAAUUGUUCAAUUUUUAGGCAAAUACUGUACACUUUGAAUGCUGUGAAUAAAACUAUAUUUUAAAUAUAUUUAAAAUGAA